GAGAAAACAACUGUGGAAAGGAGUCUCCCUCUCUCCAGCAUUCAAGCAGCUGUGCCGGGCUCUGCAGCUUCCCUCGGUCCUUACUUUUCUGUGCAGCAGCUGCUUUGGAGUCACCCCUGCUCCCUGAUGCUGUAACUCUUACACAUGGCUGGCCCUUUAAUGGGAUCCCUGGAAAAAUUACUCCAGGUGAAACAACUGAUGGAGAAUGGAAGAGAGUCUGGAAAGGUGACAACCCCUUACCCCAAGACCCUCAUAAUACACCCAUUCCUGCUGGAAGCAGACAGCAAGCCCUAGCAAGUUACUUUCCUUUCUUUUACCAUGAAGAUCUCACUCAAGACCAGCAAGAAAUUACAACUCUGAAGGAUCUCACAACAACACCUCAUCCACAUCUGUGUAGCCAAUUGUAGCCAUUUCCUCCUGGAGGAAAGAGGGGGACUCAUAACAUUUAGGAAGUAACAGAAACUACUAGAGUUGCAAGGCUCUGUCCUCAAGAUUGUAAGAGCAGUAAACAAUUUCUUGGGAGAGGAGAUCUUUCUGGCAGCCAAGUCAUCUGCAAGUUAUGGGAGAAGCCCCAUGAGGAGAAGCCAAGCUGAGAUCGGUUGCUGUGGUGGAUGCCAGCUGCCAUGCCAGAGUACACACAACACCCUGGCACAGCUAAGGGAUGCUUCAGAGGAGCCUGCCAGGCAACAGCCUACCUGGCAUGGAAGACACUUGAAAGCUGAUUGCUAAACAUGGUCAAGCUGUGAUGGCACUCCUAGUGAGCCUCACCUGCUGUCACCUCUGGUGGCACAGUGCCCGAGACACCUUGCAAUGCUGCUCAUGGGUUGCUUACCCACACAAACUGUAAUAAAAUAAUAAACAAUUGAGUUUGUGAAGCUUG